rnacentral:rRNA from 1 species
CAGUUCGGAUUGUAGGCUGAAACUCGCCUACAUGAAGCUGGAGUUACUAGUAAUCGCAGAUCAGAAUGCUGCGGUGAAUGCGUUCCCGGGUCUUGUACACACCGCCCGUCACACCACGGAAGUUGGGGGCGCCCGAAGCCACUUAGCUAACCCAUUUGGGAAGCGAGUGUCGAAGGUGAAAUCAAUAACUGGGGUGAAGUCGUAACAAGGUAGC